AUUGAACGCUGGCGGCAUGCUUUACACAUGCAAGUCGAACGGUAGGGUAGCAAUACCUGAGAGUGGCGAACGGGUGAGUAAUGCAUCGGAACAUGCCCAUUAGUGGGGGAUAGCCCGGCGAAAGCCGGAUUAAUACCGCAUACGAUCUAUGGAUGAAAGCCGGGGACCGCAAGGCCUGGCGCUAAUGGAGUGGCCGAUGUCAGAUUAGCUAGUUGGUGGGGUAAAGGCUCACCAAGGCAACGAUCUGUAGCUGGUUUGAGAGAACGACCAGCCACACUGGGACUGAGACACGGCCCAGACUCCUACGGGAGGCAGCAGUGGGGAAUUUUGGACAAGGGGCGCAAGCCUGAUCCAGCAAUGCCGCGUGCAGGAUGAAGGCCUUCGGGUUGUAAACUGCUUUUGUACGGAACGAAACGGCUCUGGUUAAUACCCGGGGCUAAUGACGGUACCGUAAGAAUAAGCACCGGCUAACUACGUGCCAGCAGCCGCCGUAA
rnacentral:rRNA from 1 species